rnacentral:rRNA from 1 species
CCAUCCCGACACGGGGAGGUUGUGACAAUUAAUACUGGUUCAGGGCUCUUUUGGGUCUUGUAAUUGGAAUGAGUACAAUUUAAACCUCUUAACGAGGAACCAUUGGAGGGCAAGUUUGGUGCCCGCCACCGCGGUAAUUCCAGCUCCAAUAGCGUAUAUUAAAGUUGUUGCAGUUAAAAAGCUUGUAGUUGAAACUUGGGCCUGGCUGGCGGGUCCGCCUCCCCGCGUGCACUCGUCCGGCCGGGCCUUCCUUUUGAAGAACCUCAUGCCCUUCACUGGGCGUGCUGGGGAAUCAGGACUUUUACUUUGAAAAAAUUAGAGUGUUCAAAGCAGGCCUUUGCUCGAAUACGUUAGCAUGGAAUAAUAAAAUAGGGCGUGCGUUUCUAUUUUGUUGGUUUCUAGAGACGCCGCAAUGAUUAACAGGAACAGUCGGGGGCAUCAGUAUUCAGUUGUCAGAGGUGAAAUUCUUGGAUUUACUGAAGACUAACUACUGCGAAAGCAUUUGCCAAGGAUGUUUUCAUUAAUCAGUGAACGAAAGUUAGGGGAUCGAAGACGAUCAGAUACCGUCGUAGUCUUAACCGUAAACUAUGCCGACUAGGGAUCGGGCGAUGAUCUUUUUAUGACUCGUUCGGCACCUUACGAGAAAUCAAAGUUUUUGGGUUCUGUGAGGACUUAUUUCAAAG